AGAGAGGGACAGCUGUGUGGUGCUUAUAGAUCUCUGGUCACUUUCUCCCCAUAUGGAUCAGCUCAGAUACAGCUGCUCUGAGGGACCAUGUGUCUGGUGUUGGAUGACUCUGUUGAAUCUUGCUCCGCUCCCUGAAUCUUUCACAUAAUUGGAUCUCAUUUCUGUAACUGAAUAAAAUCCAGUACACUCCUCUGCCAUGCAAGAAACAUGGCUGACAAGCCCAACAUGACGGAAAUCACAUCCUUUGAUAAAACCAAACUCAGGAAGACAGAGACC